UCAAUGGACGCAAGUCUGAACCAGCCAUGUCGCGUGCAGGAAGACUGCCCUAUGGGUUGUAAACUGCUUUAUACGGGAAGAAAUAUAGCUACGUGUAGUUAUUUGCCGGUACCGUAUGAAUAAGCAUCGGCUAACUCCGUGCCAGCAGCCGCGGUAAUACGGAGGAUGCGAGCGUUAUCCGGAUUCAUUGGGUUUAAAGGGUGCGUAGGCGGAAGUAUAAGUCAGGGGUGAAAGUUUGUGGCUCAACCAUAAAAUUGCCUUUGAUACUGUAUUUCUUGAGUACAUUUGAGGUAGGCGGAAUGUGUUGUGUAGCGGUGAAAUGCUUAGAUAUAACACAGAACACCGAUUGCGAAGGCAGCUUACUAAACUGUAACUGACGCUGAUGCACGAAAGCGUGGGGAUCGAACAGGAUUAGAUACCCUGGUAG
rnacentral:rRNA from 1 species